rnacentral:rRNA from 1 species
CCUACGGGGGGCAGCAGUGGGGAAUAUUGGGCAAUGGGCGCAAGCCUGACCCAGCAACGCCGCGUGAAGGAAGAAGGCUUUCGGGUCGUAAACUUCUUUUCUCAGGGACGAAGCAAGUGACGGUACCUGACUAAGAAGCCCCGGCUAACUACGUGCCAGCAGCCGCGGUAAUACGUAGGGGGCGAGCGUUAUCCGGAUUCACUGGGGGUAAAGGGAGCGUAGACGGCCAUGCAAGCCAGGGGUGAAAGCCCGGGGCCCAACCCCGGGACUGCCCUUGGAACUGUGCGGCUGGAGUGCGGGAGGGGCAGGCGGAAUCCCGGGUGUAGCGGUGAAAUGCGUAGAGAUCAGGAGGAACACCGGCGGCGAAGGCGGCCUGCUGGACUGCGACUGACGUUGAGGCUCGAAAGCGUGGGGAGCGAACAGGAUUAGAUACCCUUGUAGUC